AAUGAGCAGACAUUGUGAUGAAACCACAGACGCUGUGAAGAAGGGGCAGGUAGACCGGGGUAGUCCCAUAGGAAGGGACAGCCCAGGGCUGGGUCCUGUGGUGGCAAAGCAGCAGAAGAUGAAGUCUGGGAUGGAUCAGGGCUUUGCAAACAAAGGCUCCUGGAAAUAAUGACCGUGCAACUCAAUCCGAUGAUGUCCCCGGGUCUCUGUUUCCACUGGUGCCCUUGGCAGGCAGUUCCCAGGAGAGCAGCCCAGCCAAGAACUGCAUGGGAACAACAGCUUCUGCUGGGGGUAAGCUUUAUUAUUAUGUGAAGAUGUAAAGAGAGGGAGAAGCUGGUGACGCACCUUGGGACAAUAAGGAUAUUCCAACUUCUUGCUUCGCAAAGGUGGAUAUUUACAUGCACAGCGAAUAAAUUUACCCCUGAGAGAUCUUGGUCCCAUGUAGCUUUGAAAGUGUUCAGACCCAAUUACCUUAUUAAGACCAACGUACAUUUAUAGGCUCUAUCCGUUGACAGCAUCAUGCCCCAAACUGUACCUGGCUUAGCUUUUAUUUCAGAUGUCUGCUGGCCAAAAAGCCUGGAAAAGGCAGCACAGUAACUUCUUCCAAUGAGAAUUAAAAGCGGAGGUUUCUCCGGCCAAGGGAAGCAAUCAGUCACCGAAAUCAAAAGAUCCGUCAUCAAAGUCGAAGGCGAGGAACGAAUAGCCUCCUAAAUCAGUCAAACAAUUUAAACAUCCCUUUUGUAAUUGGCAAUUUUGUAAUAUUUAUUCACAACAGAUCUGAUUGCCGGAUUCCCACUGGCUCCCCUCAGGAGGGUUUGCGUGAAAUCAGUUUGAAAUGGUGUGUCAAUUUUUUUCUGAAGUCACCAUCUGGCUGAUAGACUUGAGUCUGUUCUAAUACACUGACCCAGUGAAUCGCUGCUAAACAAUUCCCGGGGGUCCCGCUCCUCUCGCAGGCAAUCCAGGAGAGCGCUGCUGGGAGGGAGCAAGCCUGGCAGGCACAUCUGAAUGUGCUGUGUUGGGGGAUUGUAGAAGAAUUUGAUUUGUGUAAAGAAACAGAAAUCUUGGGAUGGUCC